rnacentral:rRNA from 1 species
GACGAACGCUGGCGGCGUGCUUAACACAUGCAAGUCGAACGGAAAGGCCCUGCUUUUGUGGGGUGCUCGAGUGGCGAACGGGUGAGUAACACGUGAGUAACCUGCCCUUGACUUUGGGAUAACUUCAGGAAACUGGGGCUAAUACCGGAUAGGAGCUCCUGCUGCAUGGUGGGGGUUGGAAAGUUUCGGCGGUUGGGGAUGGACUCGCGGCUUAUCAGCUUGUUGGUGGGGUAGUGGCUUACCAAGGCUUUGACGGGUAGCCGGCCUGAGAGGGUGACCGGCCACAUUGGGACUGAGAUACGGGCCAGACUCCUACGGGCGGCAGCAGUGGGGAAUCUUGCAGGAUGGGCGGAAGCCUAAUGCAGCCCCGCCGCGUACGGGAUGACGGCCUUCGGGUUGUAAACCGAUUUCGCCUGUGACGAAGCGUGAGUGACGGUAAUGGGUAAAUAAGCACCGGCUAACUACGUG